UCUUUAUUCUCUCCUCCUCUUUAAAAAUAUUUCUCCAUAUUAUUAAGGCUUUUUAAGGAUUUGGAAUUUCAAUAAAGAAUCACGUUUUCAGCAAUUUUGUUUUCCACGUUCAUCUUCAAAAGGUGAGAUGCUCAGUGCUAUUAGUGGUUUGUCCACAUCUUUUCAAAUACGUUGUUAUGUAUGGAUUUAAUUACUUCAGUUCAGAGCUCCUUUGGGAGAAAUCAUGAUACAGUUUAAGGCACAAUUUAGCCUUCACGUUAUUUGCAGCGCUUGCUUGAAUUAUCAUUUGUCAUGGUGUGAUAAUUCUCAUGUUAUGUUGGUAAGAGAAUUUAUGCAUAAUUUCACGUUUGAUUUGAAUGUGGAGUAGCAAGCACCUCAUUGAGUAUAAUUCGUUAUACUCAUCCCUCUCUAUUUACAAUUUUCAGGUAGAAAUUAGUAUGCUGGACGGCGGUGGAUGGAUGCAUAUUGGACCAAUGGAUCUCCAUCAUGAAGUACUUUAAUUUUUAGAAACACUAGAAUAUUUAUUAACAGUUGAUUAUUAUUAUUUUUAAAUUUAGACUCAAUUGCGAGUCACGUCAUAACUUUCAAUUAGUCCUAUUUUUAUUAUUUGUUAGAACUACUUUUAUUAAUGUUUGAUAAAAGAUAUGAUUCCAAAUUGUUCCGCAUAUGUUAUUUAAUUUAAUUUACCUUUUGUUAGGGUUGUUCAAUUUUUACUGAAUUCCUCGUUAUAUUAAAAUGUAUUUGCCUCAAGCACUUUAUUAAUCAAUUCACGUUUGGUAACGUUCCGGGUUGCUAGAGAAUUUGGGGCGUUACAUUAAGAAAAUAUUAUCUCAUCAAAGAGAUAAUACAAAGAAAUGAUGUAAGUAAAGAAUGAAUUCCUACAAGUAAUAAUAUUGCAAAUUCAUUGACAAAGAGUUGUAUCAGUAUAAAUAUGAUCGCCAUAUAGACUCUUAUGGUAUAAAAAAUAUAAGUGAUUGGAUCUGGUGCAAGUAUGAGUUUGUAAGUGUUAUCCCUAAAUCCAAUCGAUUUUGCACUAAACACUUUUAAUAUGAUUAAUUUAUUUUAAAUAUGGUCAAUCUAUUAUUUAAUUGAAUUAUUACUCUAUAUAUUGAUAUAGUCCGUAGAUUCAAGUUAGAGUAACAUAUGAAUAAAUCUUAAAUUAUCGAGGUAUGAAUAUCAUGAUCACAGAUAGAUGAGAACAUAUGGUAUUCGUCACUUGUGAAGUGGGUUGCUGAUCUUACAAGUUAAAAUGUAGUGAAAUUUAAAUUGACACUUGGAUGUUUUGUUAAAAGAAAAAAUAUUGGACCCUUGAUAAGGGGUUAGUAACUUGGUUGAUUCCUAGAAGUUGAAGCAGUGAAAAAAAAAAAAAAAAAAAAGAAGAAGAAGAAGAAGAGAGAAUCCUCAUCUAUUAAUAUGUUGAAGUGCAAGUAGUAAAAUCUAACCAAACUUGAGUGGUGUAAGAAUCUAGUAUUGAAAAUCCACCUUAGAUUACACCAUUGGGAAAAGAAAAGAAAACAAGUUUGGGUGUGUGUGAAUUCCACGAGCGAAGUAAGGAAAUAUUUGACUUUUAAGAUUGAGAAUUGAAUCAACUUAUUAUUGUACAACAUUGCACUUAACACUUCAUACACGCACCCGUUUUGUAUUGAAUAGGUGAGAAUUUAGCUUGUCCAUUAUAACUUUGAAGUGAUUCUUGACAUUAAUGCUAUGUUUUUAAUUCUGAGCUAUAGAGGAAGAUAUCUACCAAAAUUUGUUCUUACGUGAUUUUGUAGGUUUUAAUUGGGUUUCUAUGCUUGUUUGUUAUUCUCUUUAGUUUGCGUUUGCUCGAGGACAAGCAAAAUAUUAAGUUUGAGGGUAUUUGAUUAGUACUCUAUACUCAUAAUAUUUAUGCCACUUAAUUCGUUAUUUUGCAACCCUUGAGAGUAUUUUAGAGCGUUUUAAUAAGUGUUUUGAUGUUGUGAUGUAAGUUGAUGAAAUUGAAAGAAAUAAGCAAAAGUUGGUGAAAUUGGAGAAAAAAUACCAAAUUGUAAGGGAUCCAAAAUUCAGGGACUAAAGUGAAAAUAUUUAAAAUUUGUGUUGAACCUCACGAUGAAGAUCCGAGAGUGUUAGGAGUCAAUUGGAUGAAGAAAGAUGUCAAAUGGAUCAAAUUUAGGCAAAAUAUGAUCACAAAUCAACUUUCAACUGAAAAAUUAUGCUUCGAAAUUUCAGCCUCACAUUGAGACCCGUUUUUGACAUAGCAAACGAUUGAAUUGGAGAAUGAUGUCCGAAGCAAAGUUGUAUUCCUUUGAGUUAGCUUUCCAACUCAUCUUGAAUCACCUCAAUCGAUCAUUAGACGAGAAAGUUAGUUUAAAAAUAUUGAAAGACCUGCAGUUUGUCAUUUUCGGUGCCCAAUUGGUAUGCCACAAUGCCCAAUUCACUGAAAUAACAGCAAGCCUGGCACCAUAGCUCCCAUCUUGGGCGCCGAGCACCGGAUAUGUGGAAAAUGCAUUUUUUUAUGUUUUUGGACUAUUUUCUUGGCCCAAUUCAAUUAUAAUUCAUCCAAGAUCCCAACAUACUAUAAAUACCAUUCAAAAAAAAAUUCUAUUUUCAAGAGGAAUUGACGAAGCCAAACACAACAAUUGAAGAGGUCAAGAUUGAAAACAAUUCAAAGGGAUUCAAUUAUAAUUCAAAAGAGGAAUCAAGGGAGGCAAGAACAACAUCAAGGGAAGAAAUUGAAGAUCUGCAUCCUCGUUUUUUCUACUCUCUUACUUAUAUUUUCUUAUAUGACUUUUUGUAUUUUCUUAGAAUAUAUCAUGAUCUAAGUUCAUUUUCUAGGGUUUGAUGUAGCCAAACUUGAUAUUAUGAUUUGGUUUUGUCAUGGCUAUUUUUAUUUGAUUUUCC
rnacentral:lncRNA from 1 species